rnacentral:rRNA from 1 species
AAAGUAAUUUUUUAAAAAAAAUAUUAAAAUUGAUAAAUAAUUAGUAUUGUAAAAGAAUUUUGAAAUAUAUAAAAAAAAAAUUAAAAAAAAGUAAUUUUUAUUUAAUGUAUCUUGUGUAUCAGAGUUUAUUAAAUAAUUAUUUAUUAAAAAAAAUUCUCGAAUUUAAGAGAGAUAUUUAAUUAAAAAAGUUAUUGUAGAAUAAAUAUUUUUAAUAAUUAAUUGGAAAUGAAAUGUUAAUCGUUCUUAAAUAUAUCUAGUUUUUUUAGAAAAAAAUUUAAUUUUAAAUUAAAUUUAUAAAUAUAAAAAUUUAUAUUUUUAUAUUUUAUUUUAAUUUAAUAUCUUAAGGGAUAAGCUUUAAGUUAAAUUUAUAUAAUAAAUGAUUUUAAAUUUAAAAAUUAUAGGAUUUAUAUUGUUAAUAAUUUUUAAUUUAUUAUAAAUAAUUUUAAUUAAAAUAAAAUUUAAUAUUAAAUAUAUUUAUAUUAAAAUAUUUAUAAAAAAAUAUAUUUUAAUAAAAAAAAAUAUAGUUAUAAUGAUAAAAUUAGUAUAAGUAAAUAAAAAAAAAUUUAUUUUUUUUUUAUUAAUUUUAAGGAAUUCGGCAAAAAUUUAUAUUCACUUGUUUAUCAAAAACAUGUCUUUUUGAAUAUAAUUUAAAGUCUGAUCUGCCCACUGAUUUUAAAAUUAAAGGGCUGCAGUAUAUUGACUGUACAAAGGUAGCAUAAUCAUUAGUCAUUUAAUUGAUGACUUGUAUGAAAGAUUUGAUGAGAUAUAAACUGUCUUAAUUUUAAAUUGUAGAAUUUAAUUUUUUAGUUAAAAAGCUAAAAUAAAUUAAAAAGACGAGAAGACCCUAUAGAGUUUUAUUUCAAUAGAAAUUUAUAAUUUUUUAUAAAUUUUAAAUUAAAAUUUUUAUUAAAAUUUUAUUGGGGUGAUAAAAAAAUUUAAUUAACUUUUUUUUAAUAAAAACAUAAAUAAGUGAAUAUUUGAUCCAGUUGUAUUGAUUAUAAGAAAAAAUUACCUUAGGGAUAACAGCGUAAUUUUUUUUUUUAGUUCAUAUAAGAAAAAAAGUUUGCGACCUCGAUGUUGGAUUAAGAUAAAAUUUAAAUGUAGAAGUUUAAAAUUUUGAUCUGUUCGAUCAUUAAAAUCUUACAUGAUCUGAGUUCAAACCGGCGUGAGCCAGGUUGGUUUCUAUCUUUUAAAAAAUAAAUUAUUUUAGUACGAAAGGAGUAAAUAUUUAAAUUAAAUUUAUUUUUUGAAUAUUAUUAAUU